rnacentral:rRNA from 1 species
UUAGCCUUAAACCUCAAUAGUUAAACAACAAAACUAUUCGCCAGAAUACUACAAGCAACAGCUUAAAACUCAAAGGACUUGGCGGUGCUUUAUAUUCCCCCUAGAGGAGCCUGUUCCAUAAUCGAUAAACCCCGAUCCACCCUACCCUCUCUUGCUCAGCCUAUAUACCGCCAUCUUCAGCAAACCCUGACGAAGGCCACAAAGUGAGCGCAAAUGCCCUCCCCGCCGCAAAAACGUUAGGUCAAGGUGUAGCCCAUGAGACGGUAAAAAAUGGGCUACAUUUUCUACCUCAGAAAAUCUUACGAUACCUCUUAUGAAACCUAAGAGUCUAAGGAGGAUUUAGCAGUAAAU